rnacentral:tRNA from 1 species
AGCUCAGUCAGUACAGCAUGAGACUCUGGAUCUCAGAGUUGUGGGUUCAUGUCCCAC